rnacentral:rRNA from 1 species
AGCUCCAAUAGCGUAUAUUAAAGUUGUUGCAGUUAAAAAGCUCGUAGUUGGAUUUCUGGUGGGCGGACAAGAGCGGCAUGAUGUGUCAGCUUGCGUUCCCUGCCAUCCUUCUGUUAAACCGGUACGGCGUUCGUUCGCUGACCGGCGGCUCAGAUAUUUUACCUUGAGAAAAUUAGAGUGUUUCAGGCAGGCUCGGCCGGGAUACAUUAGCAUGGAAUAAUGGAAUAGGACUCCAGCCUCUUCUGUUGGUCUGAGGGGUUGAAGUAAUGAUUAAUAGGGAUAGUUGGGGGCAUUAGUACUUAACUGUCAGAGGUGAAAUUCUUGGAUUUACGAAAGACGAACAACUGCG